UGUGAUCAGCAUAUUUACGUGUUCCUGUUUAUGUCCUUCAACUAGCAUGUCUAUUAAGUACCUAAUCUCAUGACUAAUGUGUGUUUCCGAUUUGGGUCCUCUAUGUCCCAAACCCCUAUUCCUUGUCACUGGUGAAGCAUGUAAUUCUCUCUGAAUUGGUUUUGUGUGUGUUGUUUUUGCUCCUACCCCCUUUCCCUUUUAAGAACUAUUUUAUUAGGCAAUUUUUCUGUUGUUUUACAAACUCACUUCAAACAUGUUGUUUUUAAACUAUUUUCCGACUCAAUACCUUUGAGUCUAUGUCCAGCACUCUCACAUGCAUUCUUAGAUCAUUAGGUUCUACUCCUCUUAUGUGACCCUUGCUUUAGGACCCUUGAGCUCCCUCUGAACAUGGACACAUAAGGGCUGGCUCUUCC
rnacentral:lncRNA from 1 species